UACGUAGGGGGCUAGCGUUGUCCGGAUUUAUUGGGCGUAAAGAGCGUGUAGGCGGCCAGGUAGGUCUGCUGUGAAAACUCGAGGCUCAACCUCGAGACGUCGGCGGAAACCAUCUGGCUAGAGUCCGGAAGAGGAGAGUGGAAUUCCUGGAUGUAGCGGUGAAUGCGCAGAUAUCAGGAGGAACACCGGUGGCGAAGGCGGUUCUCUGGGCCUGUACUGACGCUGAGGAACGAAAGCGUGGGGAGCGAACAGG
rnacentral:rRNA from 1 species